UAAACACAACCCAGACUGCACCCCGCACUGGCAAUUAACGUUUUCCCCCUCAAAGUAACAACCUUUUGUAAAAAAACAUUACNNCUCCRACCGUUAACCUAACACAAGAACAUUUCAAGAAAGAUUAAAAGAAAAAAAGGAACUCGGCAAACACCAAUUCCGCCUGUUUACCAAAAACAUCGCCUCUUGCAAAAAAAUAAGAGGUCCAGCCUGCCCAGUGAAUCUUUAACGGCCGCGGUAUCCUAACCGUGCAAAGGUAGCACAAUCACUUGUUUUUUAAAUAAAGACUAGUAUGAACGGCACCACGAGAAUUUAACUGUCUCUUUUUUCUAAUCAGUGAAACUAAUCCCCCCGUGAAGAAGCGGGGAUUACACUAUAAGACGAGAAGACCCUGUGGAGCUUUAAACUUUUUAGCAAGCCUACCCCUCCCCCACCAGCCGCCUCUGACUAAAAGUUUUUGGUUGGGGCGACCUUGGAGAAAAAUCCACCCUCCAAAAUGAAGUAGUAAAACUUAAACAAAAACUCACACCUUAAUGUAUCAAUAAAUUGACAUCCAUUGACCCAGCAACCUGAUCAACGAACUAAGUUACCCCAGGGAUAACAGCGCAAUCUUCUUCGAGAGCCCAUAUCGACAAGCAGGUUUACGACCUCGAUGUUGGAUCAGGGUGCCCAAGUGGUGCAGCCGCCACUAAAGGUUCGUUUGUUCAACGAUYAA
rnacentral:rRNA from 1 species